rnacentral:rRNA from 1 species
UACGUAGGGUGCGAGCGUUUGUCCGGAAUUACUGGGCGUAAAGAGCUCGUAGGUGGUUUGUCGCGUUGUUCGUGAAAACCGGGGGCUUAACCCUCGGCGUGCGGGCGAUACGGGGCAGACUUGAGUACUGCAGGGGAGACUGGAAUUCCUGGUGUAGCGGUGGAAUGCGCAGAUAUCAGGAGGAACACCGGUGGCGAAGGCGGGUCUCUGGGCAGUAACUGACGCUGGAGGAGCGAAAAGCGUGGGGAGCGAACAGG